GACGAACGCUGGCGGCGUGCUUAACACAUGCAAGUCGAACGAAGUGGCGAACGGGUGAGUAACGCGUAAUCAACCUGCCCUUCGGAGGGGAACAACAGUGGGAAACGACUGCUAUUACCGCUUACUGAAUGGGGGGUAGGCGUCUGAUUAGCUGGUUGGGGGGGUAACGGCCCACCAAGGCGAAGGUCAGUAGCCUGUCCGGGAGGAUUAACGGCCAAAUUGGGACUGGGAACCGGGCCAGACUCCCACGGGAGGCAGCCGUGGGGAAACUUUCGAAAUGGAGGAAAGUCUUACGAAGCAACGCCGCGGGAGGGGAGAAGGCCUUCGGGUUGUAAAGCUCUGUUAAGCGGGAAGCGGUACCGGAAGAGAAAGCCACGGCUAACUACGUGCCAGCCGCCGCGGUAAUUC
rnacentral:rRNA from 1 species